GGGGCCCGGCCCCGGGUGUUGCAUGCGGGGCGGGGCGGCCGCGAGCCGGAGGCGAAGAUGGAACGCUUAACGCUGAGCGACGCGGAGCAGAAAUACGACUCGGAUCUCUUCUCCUACUGCGACAUCGAGAGUACCCAGAAGGUGGUGGUCAACGGGCGGGUGCUGGAGCCGUUCCGGGCCGCGCAGCUGCCCAACGACGUGGUCGUGCAGAUCAUGGAGCUUUGUGGUGCAAAAAGACUUGGUUAUUUUGGAAGAAGUCAAUUCUACAUCGUUUUGAAACUUGUAGCUGUUGCCCAGUCUGGUUUUCCUUUAAGAGUGGAAAGUAUAAAUCCAGUAAAGGACCUUCCUCUGCCAAGAUUUGUUGCUUCCAAGAAUGAACAGGAAUCUCGCCCUGCAGCCUCCUAUUCUUCCGAUUCUGAAAAUCAAGGAUCUUAUUCUGGUGUAAUUCCUCCACCACCUGGCAGAGGGCAAGUGAAAAAGGGAUCCAUAAGCCAUGAUACGGUUCAGUCUCGUACAUCUGCAGAUCCACAGGAACCUGCAUCCCCAGUAGUUUCACCACAGCAGUCCCCACCGACUUCUCCCCACACAUGGAGGAGGAAGCACAAUCGUCAUCCCAGUGGGGGGAAUAGUGAGAGGCCUCUUGCAGGACCUGGGCCGUUCUGGCCUCCCUUUGGUGAAGCACAAUCAGGUUCCUCUGCUGGUGAUGCGUGUGGUCAGGCCAUUCUCCACCUCCACCUCAAGAAAACUGGGUCAGUUUUGCAGAUACUCCACCAACGAGUACUCUUUUAACCAUGCAUCCUGCUUCUGUCCAGGACCAGACAACAGUACGAACAGUAGCAUCAGCUACAACUGCCAAUGAAAUUCGUAGGCAAUCCAGUAGUUAUGAUGAUCCCUGGAAAAUAACAGAUGAACAAAGACAGUAUUAUGUAAACCAGUUUAAAACCAUUCAGCCUGAUCUAAACGGAUUUAUUCCAGGAUCUGCAGCUAAACAGUUUUUUUUACAAAAUCAAAACUUCCUAUUCUUGAACUUUCUCACAUUUGGGAACUCUCAGACUUUGAUAAAGAUGGUGCGUUGACACUGGAUGAGUUUUGUGCUGCUUUUCAUCUGGUGGUUGCUAGGAAGAAUGGCUAUGACUUACUAGAAAAAUUUCCUGAAAGCUUAAUGCCCAAACUGAUUGAUUUGGAAGAUUCAGCAGAUGUUGGGGAUCAGCCAGGUGAGGUAGGUUAUUCAGGCUCUCCUGCCGAAGCUCCUGCAAGCAAGUCACCAUCAAUGCCGUCGUUAAACCAGACAUGGCCAGAGCUGAUUCAGAGCAUUGAGGACACUGCUAUUGUUCAUCCAGUUCCUAUUCGUAUGACUCCAAGUAAAAUCCACAUGCAGGAAAUGGGACUUAAAAGAACUGGCAGUGAUCAUACGAAUCCCACUAGCCCAUUACUUGUGAAACCUUCUGACCUUUCAGAAGAAAAUAAGAUAAAUUCGUCAGUGAAAUUUGCUUCUGCAAAUACCAUAGCAGAUGGUUACAGUAGUUCAGACUCUUACUUCUGACCCAGAACAGAUCGGGAGCAAUGUAACUCGUCAAAAGUCUCAUUCAGGAACGUUGCCUGAUAACACUGCAACACCACCUCCCCCUCCAAGGCCACAGCCCUCUCAUUCUAGAUCAUCAUCUUUAGAUAUGAAUCGAACCUUUACAGUCACCACAGGACAACAGCAGGCUGGAGUUGUUGCCCAUCCUCCUGCAGUGCCUCCAAGACCACAACCCUCACAGGUUCCUGGUCCCGCUGUUCAUCGCCCAGUGAAUGCCAAUGGCCUCAUAACUCACACUAGUACCUUAUCUCAGCAGAUACCAGAACAACCAAAUUUUGCAGAUUUCAGCCAGUUUGAAGUAUUUGCUGCGUCAAAUGUAAAUGAAGAACAAGAUGAUGAAGCCGAGAAACAUCCAGAGGUCUUGUCGGUUGAAAAAGCUUCUGAUCCUGCAGGUUCUCUUCGAGUUGCCAAAACAGAUAGUAAAAUUGAAGAAAAGACAGCUGCUAGUGCUCCUGCCAAUGUGAGCAAAGGCACAACACCUCUUGCUCCACCACCUAAGCCUGUUAGAAGAAGAUUAAAAUCAGAAGAUGAAUUAAGGCCAGAAGUCGAUGAACAUACACAAAAGACAGUUGUCUUAGCUGCUGUCUUGCAUCACAACCUUCUAUUCCUAGAUCUAUUGGGAAAGAUAAGAAAGCUAUUCAGGCAUCAAUUAGACGGAAUAAGGAAACCAACAUAGUUCUGGCCAGAUUGAAUAGUGAAUUGCAGCUACAAUUAAAGGAUGUUCUUGAGGAGAGAAUUUCCCUGGAAGUUCAACUGGAACAACUUCGACCAUUCUCUCACCUAUAAGCCAAUUGCCGUUAACUGUGAACAUACUUAUUUUUAAGUGGUUUUGG